CUCGCUCCCUGUCCCUCCCUCCCUCCCUCCCUCCCUCCCUCCCUCUCUCUCUCUCACUUUCUCACUCUCUCCCAUUCCACCUCUCUGCACCAACCGGAGAGGAAGAGCACAUCAGGAAGAUCCCGGAUGGAUGAUAAGAACCAAGGUGUCCCUGACUCCUUCUCUGCUUCUGUUUUUUCCUUGACGUUUUUUUGAUUUAUGGUGCAUUCUUCCUUCAUUAUUUUAUGUUUGCUCCUUUUAGAUUUUUGCAUUUCACUCGACCUCUCCCAAACUUCACUACUACCUGCUUGUUCAGUCUCUUUCUUUUUAAUUUGCUGUCACAACUCUUUUGCUUCGUCACCAUGUCCUUCUUCUCUUCUUCUUUUGUUUGGGUCAUAUAUUCAUCCACCGUCCAGCUCUGUCUUUCUUUGCAGUCCUUAGUGUGUCCGUCUGUCCGUUCACUGACCGGGAGCCAGGACGGUGUGAAGGUUACCAUACUGGAUGAAUGGCGUAAAGAUUCCUAUUGUUCAUCAUUUGGAUGUUAGAAAAGUAUAUUCGAAAGCAAGAUCUUGUACCAAGAUACAUGUACAGUAAAUCAGAGGUUCACAAACUUGUAUCAGUCAUGUCCCUGUGACCAAUCACAUCCUACCGAGUACCGCAGCCAGGCACCACGGCAGCUCACUGACAUGUUUUCUUCUUAAUUCUGCUGCAUAAACAAAAAAGGAACACGUGUGUACAUGAAUAUAAGUAACAAUAUAUGUUGGUUUUGAAAGCCAUUAGUGGUAAAUUUCCUCCCUAUAUAUCCUCCCUACUACAUUGGAAUCUUGGUUCCUUUCAAACCAGAUCCAACAAUUGGCUCACUCUUAGGGUUCCGUGCUCCCUCUGCAACAAACCCUUAGGUUAGAGGUAGUACCAUCUGCUACUGUUUUUUAAACGUUUGGUGUUUAAUCUCAGCUCAACAAAUUGCAUCUGUUUUUAGUUGUAUUUAUUUACAUAAACUUUAUUUGUUUUGCUCAUUUUUAUUUGUUAUUGCUGUUGUGUGCAUGUCCGUUGCUGUAAACUCUUCGUCAUUGUAAAUGAGGGAAACCUCAAUGCCCUGCGAGUGUAAAUAAAUGUUUGAAAUUAAAUGAAAAUAUAUAUUGUCAUGGAUAAGUGGAUGGGGACUGUUGUUACACUGGGCUGCAUACAUUGUCGGACCUCCGUCCGACAGAGGUCUAUUUGGGAAGGCAAACCGAACACUAAACCGAACCCUAACCCAACUUAAUCCUAAACCUAACUCUUACCUCUUUACAGACAGAUUUUAAUUUGAAUAGUUGAG
ensembl:lncRNA